AGGUAACUGCAGAUGCGAUAGAAGGAGAUGCCGUUAAAACAAAACAAGAUAAGAAGCUGAUGAGCUUUACACCAGGUGAGAAUAAAUCAACCAUACAUGAAAACCCAUUUGGUAUGCUGGAAUAAUCCUUCUAGAUCAACUUACCUGAGACAAAAAACAAUAGUGUGGAGUGUAUUAUAUAGUGUAAGGCCAUUAAAAUAACCAUUAUAUCCAGUUUGAAGUAUCCGUAUGUGUUCAGUCAAUGACAACAGACUGUUCUAUUAUAUCUGGAGUCUGUAGCCUCAUAUACGUCCCCCAUGCUUUUCCAUAACUACAAAACUGAAAAGAAAUUGGUCUGGAUGGUUACACACAGUUCAAAAAUAACCUGAAAACUGGUCUGCCUUCAAUUAGAUGCUGCUGGAACAAAGAUUAGGGGAGUUCUACAUGAUCGUGGGCUGGAUUGCUGCCAUUCACCAGCUCCAGAAGAAGCAAAAUUAAAUCUGCUGUAGACCACAUGGACAAAGAAAAGACCUUUAAGGGGGAAGCUUCGUGAUCAGAUGUGGCAUAGCUGUCAGAGGUGGGGCUGAUGUUCUACUACAGGACUGAGGCUGCUGCAGGAGUCGGUUUGGGUGUGUCUGCUUCUCCCUCGCUAUCUUUCUGGAGGCCUGUCAUGAGUUUCUGGUGAUGGUGGUGUGUUUCCUCACCGUAUGAAGCUGGUCUUGCCGGUGGAGUACUGACCCACCAGGAGCACCAUGGGCUUGUUGUCAAAGUCUGCAUCCUCCAGUGCCGGGGAGUGGAACUCGUGGAACUUGUAGCUCUCCUCCAGGGGCAGCAGCUUGGUUUUGUAGAGCUUCUUCAGGCCUUCACUGACCGUCUGGAACACCUCCGGCUCCUUCUUCCUGCGGUCAUCAGUUCCCAGCCAGCUGAACAUGGUCGCUUGUGGUGUAAUUCAACCUCUAGUAGGGGUGAAUUUGCAACAAAAAAAUGCAGUUUGUUGAUGCACUAGGCCACUAAAUGUGAUUUCUUGUUUAAAAGUCAAGCUAAAAGUGAGAUUUCCCCACAUAUAUGUUGAAAAUACUUAAUUCUGCAGGUUAUUUUUUUUUAUGCAAAUCUAUUUAAAAGUCUUGAAAAUAGCGUUUGUGUCACACUAAUUGUAUGUAAAUGUGCACAAAAAUGAAAUAUCAGCCUGUAAUCCUGCACUAGAUGUUAAUUUUUAGGUUAUGUUGAGGAAUUAGUCUGUGCAAAUGCCUAAUUAAACUGCAAAACAAUCUAAUUAUAAGGAAUCCACCUGACUAUUUAAAUGCGCUCUCAUCCAGGCCACUAAUAACAACAAUAAUAAAA